GCCAUAUCAGGGGAACCAGCCCCCAGUAUUUCAACGUAGUUUCUUUUCUAUUUUCCCUAAGUGUCAGCCGGUCCGGGAAAUAAAUGAGAAUGAGUACAAAGAGAAGAAUUUUACAGCUGGGCCACCGGGGGUGGCAUCACAUAUCGACAGGUUCCAUGAUGCCCACCUGAGCCGCAAAACCAGCAAGUUUUUAUUAGGGAUUUCAAAAGGGGAGGGGGUGUACAAAUAGGGAGUGGGUCACAGAGAUCACAUGCUUCAGUGGGCAACAAAAGAUCACAUGCUUCAGUGGGCAAUAAAAGAUCACAAGGCGAAGGGCAGAGCAAGAUCACAUGGCAAGAGCAAAAUUAGAAUUACUGAUGAGGGUCCAUGUCCCGCUGGGCACGCAUUUCUUAAUAAACAUCUUAACAGGAAACAGUGUUGGAGAGCAGACAACUGGUCUAACUAGAAUUUACCAGGCUGGAAUUUCCCAAUCCUAGUAAGCCUGAGGGCACUGCAGGAGACCAGGGUGUAUUUCAUCCCUUCUCUCAACCGCAUAAGACAGACACUCCCAGAGCAGCCGUCUAUAGACCUACCCCUGGGAAUGCAUUCCUUUCCCAGGGUAUUAAUUAUUAAUAUUCCUUGCUGGGAAAAGAAUUCAAUGAUAUUUCUCCUACUCACACAUCCAUCUAUAGGCUUUCUGCAAGAAGAAAAAUAUGGCUCUAUUCUGUCCUAUCCCACAGGCAGUCAGACCUUAUGGUUAUCUUUCCUUGUUCCCUGAAAAUUGCUGUUAUUUUGUUCUUUUUCAGGGUGCACUGAUUUCGUAUUGUUCAAACACACGUUUUACAAACAAUUUGUACAGUUAACGCAAUCAUCACAGGGUCCUGAGGUGACAUACGUCCUCAGCUUACAAAGAUAAUGUGAUUAAGAGUUAAAGACAGGCAUAAGAAAUUAUAAGAGUAUUAGUUGGGGAAGUGAUAAAUGUCCAUGAAAUUGUCACAAUUUAUGUUCAGAGAUUGCAGUAAAGAUAGGCAUAAGAAAUUAUAAAAGUAUUAAUUUUGGGAACUGAUAAAUGUCCAUGAAAUCGUCAAAAUUUAUGUUCUUCUACCAUGGCUUCAGCCAGUUCCUCUGUUUGGGAUCCCUGACUUCCUACAACAUGGCCACCUUUUUAUUUUUUUAAUCAUGGCUACUAGAAAAUUUUAAAUAACAUAUGUAGCACAAAGUAGAUUUCUCUUGGCUGUCAAUGGUACAGAAGUUCUGAAAGAUAUAAUUAACAGUUAAUUUCAUAGAUAUAUAUUUAACUCUCAUUUUCUUCAAACAUAACAUAAAGUUUUGCCAGGCGUGGUGGCUCAAGCCUGUAAUCCCAGCACUUUGGGAGGCCGAGGCAGGUGGAUCACGAGGUCAGGAGUUCUAGACCAGCCUGACCAGCAUGGCAAAACCUGAUCUCUACUAAAAAUACAAAAAAUUAGCCAGGUGUGGUGGUGGGCACCUGUAAUCCCAGCUACUCAGGAGGCUGAGGCAGGAGAAUUGUUUGAACCUGGGAGGUGGAGGUUGCAGUGAGCUGAGAUUGCGCCACUGCACUCCAGCCUGGGCGACAAGAGCGAAACUCCAUCUCAAAAAAAAAUAAAAAAUAAAAAUAAAUAAAGCUUUUCUAUACUCGUAGAUCACUUUAAUUAUACAGUUGACCUUGAACAACACAAGUUUGAACUUCAAGGGUUCACUUACACGCAGAUUUUCUUCCACCUCUGACACCCCUGAGACAACAAGACCAACCCUUCCAGGGCUGGGCAUGGUGUCUCAUGCCUGUAACUCCAGCACUGUGGGAGGCUGAGGCAGGAGGAUUGCUUGACCCCAGGAGUUUGAGACCAAACUGGACAACAUAGCAAGACUCCAAUCUCUACAAAAAAUUAAAAAUUAAUUGGGUGUAGUGGCUCAUGUCUGUAAUCUCAACUACUUGGGAGGCUGAGGUGGAAGAGUUGCUUGAACACAGGAGUUCGAGACCAGUCUAGGCAACAUAGUGAGACCCUUUCUCUAUAAAAAAUUUAAAAAUAACUAGAAUUAAUGAAAAGAGUGUUGGAUUAAAAACAGUGACAAAAUAGAUAACAUUUUACUUGUAUAGGAAAGAAAAAAAAGUGAAAAAUCUCAAAUGCCAAAUAUUAGAUAUACAAAAAUAGCCCACAUUUACCAAAUAUUUCCUCUUUGCCAGGCACUGAACUAAGUACUUGUCUUGCCCUAGCUCACCUCCUAGUUCAGUGUCCUUAUGUGGUCCGAGUAUUAUUAUCUCUGUUUUACAUUUUCCAUUUCAGGAAGCCAGGCACAGAGAAGCUGCAAUAACUUGUCUAACCAAGCUCAUCAUAAGAGUGAGUGGUAAACUGAGAUUUUAACCCAGAUCCUCUGGAUUUAGAUCUUGCCAUUUUAAAUCUAUACACUGCAGGGAGUAGUAGCUAAAAUUACACAUACAGGCCAGGCAUGGUGCCUCACGCCUGUAAUCCCAGCACUUUGGGAGGCUGAGGCGGGUGGAUCACCUGAGGUUAGGAGUUCCAGAGUAGCCUGACCAACAUGGUGAAACCUCAUCUCUACUAAAAAUACAAAAUUAGCCAGGCGUGGUGAUGUGCACCUGUAAUCCCAGCUACUUGGGAGGCUGAGGCCGGAGAAUCGCUUGAAUCCGGGAAGUGGAGGUUGCAGUGAGCUGAGAUAGCACCACUGCACUCCAGGCUGGGCAGUAACAGCAUACAGAUGGGCCGGGCAUGGUAGCUCACGCCUGUAAUACCAGCACUUUGGGAGGCUGAGGCGGGCUGAUCACUUGAGUCCAGGAGAUAGAGACCAGCCUGGGCAACAUGGCAAAAUCCCAUCUCUAUAAAAAAAACACAAAAAUUAGCCGGGCAUGGUGGUGUGCACCUAUAGUCCCAGCUACUUGGGAGGCUGAGGCAGGAGAAUCUCCUGAGCCCAGGAGGUGGAGGCUGCAGUGAGUCGAAAUUAGCCAGGUGUGGUGGUGGGCACGUGUAAUCCCAGCUCCUCGGGAGGCUGAGGCAGGAGAAUUGUUUGAACCACGGAGGCAGAGGUUGCAGUGAGCUGAGAUUGCACCAUUGCACUCCAGCCUAGGCAACCAGAGCAAAACUCCGUCUCAAAAAAAAAAAAAAAAAAGGUGGGUUCACUUCAUUAUGAACUUGUCCAAACCCACAGAAUGUACAACACCAAGAGUGAACCUGAUGUCAGCUAUGCUCUUUGGGUGAUAAUGAUGUGUCAGGUAGGCUCGUGGAUUGUAACAAGCAUGACUCCCAGGAAGCAUGUCAACUCGGAAGCUGGAUUUUGCUCAGAAGUCUCCUCUGCUCAGGGGAAACACAUCAUCUCCUUGUAUCUUAUCUCAGUAAUCAGGGGCAUGCUUCUAGGAAUCCAAAGAAACAUCCCAAGUGAUAGUGUGUACUCAGGACAGGAAGUUCCUGUGGUUUGGGGCUGCUGAGGUCAGAGCCUGGAAAGGGAAAGUGUACUAGAGGUUAAAGAACAUUUGCUUCCCAGGUCUGCAGAGCAGGUCAUUUUCUUAUCAUUCCCUGUCCUUCCCUCUCUAUCUCCCGCCUUCCUACCCUCUCCUGCCCCACCCUCCAACACAUCUCUGGGGCCUUUCUGGCCUCCUGUCAGUUUGAUCCUACACUGCUUUUCUCUUAGCAUGAAGGCAAGACUCAUUAUCAGUGCUCUCUCCUGUGAAAUAUAGAAGAAGAAUAAUCAUAUUUUCUACAGAAGGGUGUUGGAAGAAUUAAAUAGAAAUGCUUGUGUGGCUGGGAGCGGUGUUCACACCUGUAAUCUCAGCACUUUGGGAGGCUGAGGUGGGAGGAAUGCUUGAGCUCAGGAGUUCGAGACUAGCCUGGGUAACAUAGGAGACACCAUCUCUACAAAAAAUUAAAAAAAAAUCAAUCAGGUGUGUGGCUCAUAGCUGCAGUCCCAACUACUGGGGAGGCUCAGGUGGGAGGAUCACUUGAGCCCAUGAGGUCUAAGGCUACAGUGAGCUGUGAUCACACCACUGCACUCCAGCCUGGGUGACAGAGCAAAACCCUGCCUUAAAAAAAAUAAUAAAAUAAAAUAGAUAAAUAAAUAAAGGCCGGGCACAGUGGCCCACGCCUGUAAUCCCAGCACUUUGGGAGGCCAAGGCGGGCAGAUCACCUGAGGUCAGAAGUUCAAGACCAGCCUGGCAACAUGGCAAAACCCUGUCUCCACUAAAAAUACAAAAAUUAGCCGGUCGUGGUGCCGCGUUCCUGUAGUUUCAGCUACUCAGGGAGGCUGAGGCAGGAGAAUCGCUUGAACCUGGGAGGCAGAGGUUGCAGUGAGCCGAGACUGCACCACUGCACUCCAGCCUGGGUGACAGAGUGAGACUCUGUCUCAAAAUAAAUAAAUUAAUUAAAAUAAAAAAUAAAAAUAAAUACAUAAAAGUGGAAUUUUGGGGUCCUGUGGUAAUUCUGUGUAUAAAUUUUUGAGGAACCCCUAAACUGUUUUCCAUGGUGGCUGAGCCACUUGACAUUCUCACCAGCAAUGUAUGGGCAUUCCAGUUUCUCCACAUCCUCCUCGACACUUGUGAUUUUUCUUUUUUUUUUAACACCAUCCUGGUGGUGUGACGUGGUAACUCUUUGUGCUUUCUAUUUGCACUUUUCUAAUAAUGAAUGAUGUUGAGCUUCUUUUCAUGUGCUUCUUGGCCAUUUGCAUAUAUUGUUCGGGAAAAUAUCUAUUCAAGUUCUUUGCGUAUUUUUUAAAUUGGGUUUUUUGCCUUUUUAAGUUGUAAGAGUUCUUUAUAUAUUCUGGAUACUAGACUCUUAUCACAUAUGCAAUUUGCAAAUAUUUUAUCCCACUCAUAGAUUAUCUUUUCACUUUCUUGAUAAUGUCUUUUACUUUUUUUUUUUUCUUGAGACAGAGUCUUACUCUGUCUCCCAGGCUGGAGUGCAGUGGCACAAUCUCAG
rnacentral:lncRNA from 1 species